GAUGAACGCUGGCGGCGUGCCUAAUACAUGCAAGUCGAGCGAAGCGGGGACGGGUGAGUAAAACGUGGAGAACCUACUAUAAGACUGGGAAAAAUUAGGGGAAACGGAGGUAAUCGGAUACAUAUGGAGGUCUACGAGCUGCAUAAGCUAGGUGGUAAGGUAAAGGCUUCACAAGUCAACGAUGCAGAGCCGACCUGAGAGGGUGAUCGGCCAGACUGGAACUGAGACACGGUCCAGACUCCUAAGGGAGGCAGCAGUAGGGAAUCUUCCGCAAUGGGCGAAAGCCUGACGGAGCAACGCCGCGUGAGUGAUGAAGGUCUUCGGAUCGUAAAACUCUGUUAUUAGUGAAGCGGUACCUAAUCAGAAAGCCACGGCUAACUACGUGCCAGCCGCCGCGGUAAUAC
rnacentral:rRNA from 1 species